UACAGAGGUCCCAAGCGUUGUUCGGAUUCACUGGGCGUAAAGGGUGCGUAGGCGGUCGGGUAGGUCUGCUGUGAAAACUCGAGGCUCAACCUCGAGACGUCGGCGGAAACCAUCUGGCUAGAGUCCGGAAGAGGAGAGUGGAAUUCCUGGUGUAGCGGUGAAAUGCGCAGAUAUCAGGAAGAACACCCGUGGCGAAGGCGGCUCUCUGGGACGGUACUGACGCUGAGACGCGAAAGCGUGGGGAGCGAACAGG
rnacentral:rRNA from 1 species